AAUUUGAAGGAUUUGUUGAGGUAUUUGCGCCGUGAUGAUCCGUCGACUAGGGAAUAGGGAUGAAGAUCUGUUUAUAUCCCCUUUUCUUUUCUGAUUACGGCUGGAGUGUCGCUCGCCGGAUAUUGCUGACCGCCGCCUGCGGAGGCCGGUCGCUACUAACCCAGAACGACAGAACGCCAGUCGCCAGAUGCCCAAAACAGCAGAACCCUACCGGUUGAGGGUUGGCGGUCUUCAGAAGAGUCCUCCACGUAGUGGCUUAGCGUCCGCUGGUGAAUAACUACACAGAAAGGAAACGUAAACUACCAUUGGAGCAGAUGCGAGGAAAUCUCCUCCGACGCUCAAGUCAGCACGUGCCCACGAGGAGUUUUAAGAGGGAGAAAGUAUAGAGUGAGAUAAGCUAUCUUAAGUGUGUAAAUGUACUUGCAUAAAUGGUACUGGUGGGCUAUUUAUAGAAGUAUUGUUUCCUCUGACAAGACGUGUAAUCCUUCGACAUGUGUAUAACUAUGAGGUACCUGAUAGAGGGGAAAAUUCCUCUAUUUUGUCUUGUGAGAUGGCGCCAACAACGUUGUCGGACCACAUUAGUGAACUCACUUUUAGAAUUGUAGAUGAUGUUUGUACAUUCGCUUCCUUUAUGGUGUUCGCCAAUGCACUUGGGUGAUACCCAUACACUUAUCAUCAUCAUAAUAAUAUUUUUGCGGUCUUCCUGAUUCCCACUUCGUCAAACUGUAUAGCGUGAUAUAUUCAGGCACUAUAUCCACAAAUGAACAAAAAAAUUUAUGACAUCAACUUAGAUUUUCCUUACAAAAGUCAAGAUCACAUAUUCACAUGCAAUUCUUAACUUGUAGAACUUGCCAAGAAGACAAAAGAACAAAAAGAAAAAGAAAAAAACUCAAAAUGCACAAUGUAUGAAACUAGAUUAUGUACAAUAUACCUCGUCAUUUGUCAAAAUAAAGUUAAUCAAAUAGAUGAAAAGAUAUAAAUAAGUUACAUUCUUUAUAUUGCAUUCCAGAUGCUAAUGAGUCUAUAUGUACUUUAUUGUAUAUUUGUAUGUAUCCUUAAGAUACGGGAAGGAUUAGCCUAAAGAUUGAAAAUUUGUAGUCAUGAAGAUAACUAAGGAUCAACAUAUGAAAGCUCCUUUGAGUUGUCUUCAUGUACUAGUGUUAACUCUUUGAUAGAGUAUAAAACUAUUCUUGAGAUUACAACCAUUAGCUUAAACUUUUGGUUGAGUUGGUCCUUUGAUAUGAUACCAGAGCCAGUGUGAUAUUGAGCGCCAGAUAUGAGGGAGGCUUGUGUUACAAUGAGCACUUGCGUGAGGAGGUUUGAUAGAGUAUAAAACUAUUCCUAGGACUCCAACCAUCAGCUUAAAUUUUUGAUACUCUUUUUUCGUAAGUUUAACCAAAUUCUUCAUGUAGUGUCAACUCAUGAUAUAGAUUGCACUAUAUUAAACUUAUAAUAUAAAAUCCAUAACAAAAAAUUGAGAACUCCUAUUUUUAGUUUCAUGUAUUUUGUUCUUUAUUUAACAAAACCUGAAAAUGUAAAACAAUUACAGAUAGUCCCACACUUAUGUUUACGAUAGGUUAAGGGAUAAUUUUUACUAUACUUUUUUAAGGUCUUUGCCUCAAUUGCUAUAUAAACUCCAAUCCUCACAUGUAACUUGUGGUGGAUUUAGGAUUAUACGGAUGGUGAAUCACACCACCUACCACAUUACAAGUUUACAACCAAUAACCAAUUUUUAUAAAAAAGAAAUUUACAAAAAAAUUCAUUUCAAAUUAAAAGUAAAAAAUAUCCAUAACAACACCAAUUAGUACUUACAAUUGUUCAUGAUGACUUUUCAUGUCCUGAUACCAUUUAUAAUAUCAUUCGUGCAAA